GUGGGGAAUCUUAGACAAUGGGGGAAACCCUGAUCUAGCCAUGCCGCGUGAUCGAUGAAGGCCUUAGGGUUGUAAAGAUCUUUCAGGUGGGAAGAUAAUGACUGUACCACCAGAAGAAGCCCCGGCUAACUCCGUGCCAGCAGCCGCGGUAAUACGGAGGGGGCUAGCGUUGUUCGGAAUUACUGGGCGUAAAGCGCACGUAGGCGGAUUGGAAAGUUGGGGGUGAAAUCCCGGGGCUCAACCCCGGAACUGCCUUCAAAACUCCCAGUCUUGAGUUCGAGAGAGGUGAGUGGAAUUCCGAGUGUAGAGGUGAAAUUCGUAGAUAUUCGGAGGAACACCAGUGGCGAAGGCGGCUCACUGGCUCGAUACUGACGCUGAGGUGCGAAAGCGUGGGGAGCAAACAGGAUUAGAUACCCGUGUAGUCC
rnacentral:rRNA from 1 species